rnacentral:rRNA from 1 species
GAGUUUGAUUCUGGCUCAGAUUGAACGCUGGCGGCGUGCCUUACACAUGCAAGUCGAACGGCAGCGGGCCCUUCGGGGCGCCGGCAAGUGGCGAACGGGUGAGUAACACAUCGGAACGUACCCUGUGGUGGGGGAUAACCCGUCGAAAGACGGGCUAAUACCGCAUAAGCUCUGCGGAGGAUAGCGGGGGACCGUCAAGGCCUCGCGCCACAGGAGCGGCCGAUGUCCGAUUAGCUAGUUGGUAGGGUAAAGGCCUACCAAGGCGACGAUCGGUAGCGGGUCUGAGAGGACGGCCCGCCACACUGGGACUGAGACACGGCCCAGACUCCUACGGGAGGCAGCAGUGGGGAAUCUUGGACAAUGGGGGAAACCCUGAUCCAGCAAUGCCGCGUGGGUGAAGAAGGCCUUCGGGUUGUAAAGCCCUUUUAGCAGGGAAGAAAUCGGCUGGGUGAAUAAUCUAGCUGGAUGACGGUACCUGCAGAAAAAGCACCGGCUAACUACGUGCCAGCAGCCGCGGUAAUACG